rnacentral:rRNA from 1 species
GGCAGUGAUGAUUACGCAGAGGCCACACCCGUUCCCAUUCCGAACACGGCAGUUAAGCUCUGUAGUGCCCAAAAUACUUGGCUGGUGACGGCCCGGGAAGAUAGGAAGUUGCUGCCA